CGUGCACGUGGCGGUCGCACGCGACGCAGAGGCGCGCGGCGUCCGCGCGGCAGUGCAGAGCCGCCGCCGCCUCCCCGCAGUAGUCGCACGGGCACUGCUGCCCGUCCGCUCCUCCCCCGCCGCAGCUCUUCAUCUCUCACGCCGCCACCAACCUACCCGACGAACUGACACACACACAGAGGGAAGAGAGAGCACAAAGCCCGCGCACGUGGACCACGAGGCGCACCAAACCGAAUCGCUGGGGCCGGACCAGCCGACGAGUAAAAAUGGCGAGAGGCGAGCGUUCGCUUGCUCGCGACUUCGC
rnacentral:misc_RNA from 1 species